rnacentral:miRNA from 1 species
CCUCCUGAGACUACGGCUCUGA